rnacentral:ncRNA from 1 species
GGUCGGGUAGCGCGCAGCCAUACAAGACCCCGGUGACGGGGGAAAACUGCGGGCCGUCUCGUUGCGGUGUUGAAGUACCCGGCCGCCCCCUC